AUGGGGGGAACCCUGAUGCAGCGACGCCGCGUGAGUGAAGAAGUCUUUCGGUUCGUAAACCUCUUUCAGCAGGGAAGAAUAAGGCGGUACCUGACUAAGAAGCCCCGGCUAAAUUCGUUCCAGCCGCCGCGGUAAUUCGUAGGGGGCAAGCGUUAUCCGGAAUUCCUGGGUGUAAAGGGUGCGUAGGUGGUUGGCAAGUCGAAGGAAAACCCGGGGUUAACUCCGGGCUUGAUUUUCAAACGUCCGACUGGAGUGCUUGAGGGGUAAGCGGAAUUCACACCGGAGCGGGGGAAUGAGUAGAUAUUAGGAGGAACAUCCGUGGGGGAGGCGGGUUACCGUACGGAACUAGACACUGGGGCAGGAAAGAGGGGGGAGCAAACAAGAUUAGAUUACCUGCGUAGUUCCUCCCAACAACGAAAGAUAGUAGGUUGGUGGGGGGUAGAGGUUUCCGCCGCGCAGCAAACACCUCAAUAUGUCCCCCUGGGGGGGACGUUCGCCAGAAUGAAACUCAAAGAGAAUUAAUGGGGGCCCGCCCACAGCGGUAGAGCAUGCAUUUUAAUUAGUAGCAACCAGAAGGACCUUCCUUGGUCGUGACAUCCUUUUGGCCGGUCCUUAACAGGCCCUUUCCUUAGGAACAGGAGAGACAGGUGGUGCAUGGUUGUCGUCAGCUCGUGUCGUGAGAUGUUGGGUUAAGUCCCGCAAGGAGCGCCACCCCCUCUUUUUAUUACCCUGCAUUUUAGCCGGGCACCCUCGAGGGACCGCCACGGACAAGCCGGAGGAAGGGGGGGACGACGUCAAAUCAUCAUGCCCCUUAUGCCCAGGGCUGCACACGUGCUACAAUGGCCGAAACAGAGGGAAGCCGCCCCGCGAGGGGGAGCAAAUCCCAAAAAUCACGCCCCAGUUCGGAUUGGGGUCUGCAACCCGCCCCCAUGAAGUCGGAAUUGCUAGUAAUCGCGAAUCAGCAUGUCGCGGUGAAUACGUUCCCGGGUCUUGCACACACCGCCCGUCA
rnacentral:rRNA from 1 species